GAUGAACGCUAGCGGCAGGCCUAACACAUGCAAGUCGAGGGAGGAGCCUUCGGGCUUCGACCGGCGUACGGGUGCGUAACGCGUAUACAAUCUGCCUUUCACAUAGGGAUAGCCCGAAGAAAUUUGGAUUAAUACCUAAUGGUAUAUAGAUGUGGCAUCACCUUUAUAUUAAAGCUGAGGCGGUGAAAGAUGAGUAUGCGUUCUAUUAGCUAGUUGGAGAGGUAACGGCUCCCCAAGGCGACGAUAGAUAGGGGUUCUGAGAGGGAUAUCCCCCACACUGGUACUGAGAUACGGACCAGACUCCUACGGGAGGCAGCAGUGAGGAAUAUUGGACAAUGGUCGGAAGACUGAUCCAGCCAUGCCGCGUGCAGGAAGACGGCUUUAUGGGUUGUAAACUGCUUUUGCAGGGGAAGAAUAAGGACUACGCGUAGUUUGAUGACGGUACUCUGCGAAUAAGCAUCGGCUAACUCCGUG
rnacentral:rRNA from 1 species